AAGCGUGACCUUAAAAUUAAUUUGUCACCAAGACUGACCUGGACAGACAGGACAUGGCUUUUCUUUGUUAUUUACUCACUUGGCGUGUAGUUCUGUACACCUCAUUGCAGACAUCAUGUUUUCCUUACUGUGCCCCUCCUCCACUCAGAAUAGAAAGCAAUAGUUGUCUUUGUACUAUAUUAUAUCAACAAACAAGUGUUUUCAGAGUUCUCAGACUAUCUGACCUCCAGGAAUUUGGUCAGAGAUCACAGAAACUACAAUAUAAUUAAUUGGCAGUUACUAUUAGUAUUUUGUCCUAUUUUGACAUAGUUGUACUUAAAUUAAAAAAAAAAAAAGUUUGAAGAAAUAAGAGUAAUUGUUCAGUUCCUCACAGCUCAGUGCAGGCAUUUGCUUAACUCCUAACAUGCUGCCUUCCUCUGCAACUCGCUUGGCUGACGGGCUCCAUGAAAUAACCUUCACGGAGCAGGUGUGUGUGUGUGUGUGGUGGUAGUGGUGGUGGGGUUCUACUGUACACCCCCAUCCCUCAGAGCAGGGGUGGAGAGGUGGGGGUUGGAGGGAGGGGGAGGAGUCGGGAACUUCCUGUGCUCACCUCUGUUUCCUAACUGGACUCUGAACUCCCCUCAGUCUAAGCUCCACCCACAGCUUCUCACCUUCCAGUGCCCGAAUGUCCUGGGUAUGUUGGAUGAGUUGUGCUUUUUGGCUCUCUAUCGUUUAGGGCACUUUUGAUCAAAUCAAUCCGCAUUUGACCCUUUGCUGUCUAGUUUCUAGAAUCCCGUUGCUAUGAGCCCCUCCGCAGCUUAUGCUUAAUGUGAUAACGACAAAACAGCCGGGGCUUCUGGAGAAACCCCAAAGUAGCUUCCUUUGUACUCUAGUGAGGUUUCAAGGAAGAGCAGAAGUUACAAGCUUGCCUUCAACCUGCCAUCUGUAGUAGGUUUACCACGUUCUUCAGAUGGCCCAGUGUCUCCUCCGUGUUUACCCUGUACAGGUUGAGUGUGUGUUGCUGGACUGGAGGUCUUGAGCCACGGUUUGUGGCCUGCACUUGUCUUCUUGCACUCAAGUCCGAAAGGCCGAGAAAAUCAAAGCCAGUAUCACAGGAUUCUGGCGGCACCGAUCUGCGCCACGCUAGGGAGCUCACGUGGUCUUCUCCUUUCCUUCCUUGUUCCCUUCCCCCAGUCUUGUUUUGAGAUAAGUAUUUCAUUAAGUUCCCCAGGCAGCUUUGAACUUUCAGAGCUGCUGCCUGGGUCUCCCAAGUAACUAAGACUAAAUGUGCUUAAUUUAAUGUAAAGCAGCCCUGUGGUUCCCUAACUUCAACCUGCCUCCCACAGCUUCCCUCAGGCAUCUAGAAGAGGGCAGAGUGAGGCAGAGUUAGGAGGAUCGGUAGACUGACAGGCAGGGAGGAGACUGGCAUCUGGAAAAUUCUUUCUUUGGUGCCGUAAACAGCAAAAUGUGUGGCUUUUUAUGUUAGAAGCCACUCUGCCAUAGCCGUGCCUAGGGAUAGUAUUGGAAAUAUUUAACAGCGGGCGUACUGAGGGCAGUCACCAAUUUGGACCGUCCUUAUGAUUUAAUAAUGCUUACUGACUCACUGGCCACAAGGCUUAGGCUGGGAUCUAGAAUGCUGCAAUUUUCUAUACUUUUCUCUACAUUUAUCACCUUCUAAUUUCCAGAAAGACGCUCUGGGAAAACGGGUUAGGACUACUCUCCUCCAUGGUAUCUUCAUAAAACGCGUGCCGUCACACCAAGUUUCCUUGCACCUAUGGUGAACAUUGGGUGCAGUCCUUACCUCUGGGGAGAUGUCUGACAGCAGGGGAGUGACAUAUUGUGCCAGGGAUGUGCUUUAAAUGAUGGAAUGCAUGCUAUAGAGCUGAGUUUGGUCCCUCGAAACUCAUACGCCCACGAAUGAGUGGGGGUGGGGCUUGUUGGCGUAGGGGGCGUGGGGCAUAUUGGAGUGGAGGUGAGGCCAGGUAGGACAUUCUUAUCAGGUUUGUAUAGAGGAUGUGUCUGCCCAGCUUCUCUUUUGCACUGUGCUUUUUGUUUCUCCACAUCUUAUUGAAAUGUAACAUUUAGAAAAACAUCAUUUCCCCCAAAUGGUUUAUCAGAUGAUUUUUCCCUAUUUCUCUUCUGUUCCGUUAAGCCGGAGUCACGCACGCUGCUCAGGCUGCCCUGGGCUUCUGUGCUUAAGAGAUGUUUUAGAUUUGCCCUCCCCAGCUCCCAAGUAGUUCCCAAGUGUUAGCACACUGCACCUGGUUUCCGUUUGUCCUCUCCAUCAAAGUGAUCAUACAAUGCGGCAUUCACUGUUUGUCAUGCUGGACCAUGCAGUGUACGUUUUUAUUUUGUUUUUCUUUUGUUUGUUUGAGACAUGGUCUCUCUGCAUAGCCUUGGCUGUCCUGGAACUCACUAUGUAGACCAAGAUGGCUUCAAGAACUCACAGAGAACUGCCUGUCCAAGUCUCCCAAGAGCUGAGAUUAAAGGUAUAUGCUACU
ensembl:lincRNA Gm43598 predicted gene 43598